CCAAUUAAUCAGAUCUUUAAAAGAUCUAUCGGACUGUGGAGUGAAUGAUUUG
rnacentral:tRNA from 1 species